rnacentral:misc_RNA from 1 species
GUACCCUCAAGCUUUGCUUGGUGUUGGGCGUCUUGUCUCUCACGAGACUCGCCUUAAAAUCAUUGGCAGCCGACCUACUGGUUUCGGAGCGCAGCACAAUUCUUGCACUUUGAAUCAGCCUUGGUUGAGCAUAUCAAUAAGCGGAGGA